rnacentral:lncRNA from 1 species
AGGCACGGGGGCUCAUGCCUGUAAUCUCAGCGCUUUGGGAGGCCGAGGCGGGUGGAUCAUGUGAGGUCAGGAGUCUGAGACCAACCUGGCCAACAUGGUGAAACCCAGUCUCUACUAAAAAUACAAAAAUUAGCAGGCUGUGAUGGCAGGUGCCUGUAAUCUCAGCUACUCGGGAGGCUGAGGCAGGGGAAUGGCUUGAACCCAGGAGAUGAAGGUUGCAGGGAGCCAAGUUUGUGCCACUGCACUCCAGCCUGGGCAACACGGUGAGACUCCAUCUCAAAAAAAAAAAAAAAAAAAAAACCAAAAAAAAAGAAUAAGCAAAAGCUCCUACCCUAUAACACUGAUGCAUUCUGUUUGCAUUUUAUUCCAUGAUUUACACAAUAAUUAUAUAUUGUAUCCUUAUGAUAUGUCAGAUACUGUGUUGGCACUUUACAUAUAUCUCACUUAAUCCUUAAUACCAUCUGGAAAUAAUAAACAUUUUAUGGAUGGUGAAACAGAGACACAGAGAAAUCGAAUAGCCUGCUCAGGGUUUCCAGAAUAGCAAAAUUAAAGGCCUAGGGUUUAGUUUUCCACUAAAGAUUCUCAUGGCUGGCUUCUUCACGUCAUUCAGGUCUCUGCUCAAAUGUAAUCUUAGAGAAGCUACAUUAAUCCAUCUGAAAUAGACACCUCACUGUGCAUCCAAUUGUCCUGCCUUAUUUUUCUUUGUAACAUUAUUAUAUUAUUUAUAUUUGUAUUGUCUGUAUCUCCUCCUAGACUAUGAUCUCUGUUAGGACAAGCUCUUGGUUGUGUUUGCUGCUUAUUACCACACUACCCAGACCAGAGCCUGGCACAUAAUAAGGAGCUCAACAAAUUUUUGUUAAGAAUAAUUGACUCUUAGACCCAAACUCUUAGCCACUAUGCUAUAUUUUGUCCCUAGAUGGGAUUAAGAAGGUUUACAUUUUGAAUAUCCUGAUACCAAAGAGCAUGCUGCACAAAGCCUGUGCAUGGAAUGUGCCAAAUAGUAUGUAAACUGCGCCAGACGCGGUGGCUCACGCCUGUAAUCCCAGCACUCUGGGAAGCCGAGGCGGGCGGAUCACAAGGUCAGGAGAGUGAGACCAUGCUCGCUAACUCGGUGAAACCCCAUCUCUACUAAAAAAAAUACAAAAACUUAGCCGGGCGUGGUAGCGGGCGCCUGUGGUCCCAGCUACUUGGGAGGCUGAGGCAGGAGAAUGGUGUGAACCCGGGAGGCGUAGCUUGCAGUGAGCCGAGAUCGUGCCACUGUACUCCAGCCUGGGU